UACAGAGGGUGCAAGCGUUAAUCGGAUUUACUGGGCGUAAAGCGUAUGUAGGUGGUUUGCUAAGUCAGGUGUGAAAUCCCUGGGCUCAACCUAGGAAUUGCAUUUGAUACUGGAUGGCUUGAAUCCGGGAGAGGGAUGCGGAAUUCCAGGUGUAGCGGUGAAAUGCGUAGAUAUCUGGAGGAACACCGGUGGCGAAGGCGGCAUCCUGGACCGGUAUUGACACUGAAAAGCGAAAGCCAGGGGAGCAAACGGG
rnacentral:rRNA from 1 species